ACAACCAUCAGUAUCUAAAGGGUUCUUUGGACGGCUAUUACAUGCUUAUGGAUCUCUUCCUAGUAGUGUCUUUGAAGCUGAAAGGCCUGGAUGUAGAUACUCUGUACAACAGAGAAUUGCAACAUAUUUCUACAAGGGAGUCCUAUAUGGAUUUGUUGGCUUUGCUUGUGGUAUUAUUGGCCAAGGCAUUGCAAAUCUCAUAAUGAAUGCCAAGCGGUAUGACUUGUAACUAGAUGCAUUUAUUUUUUAAUUUCCUUGCCUAGUUAUGCAUUUAAUCUUUUACAUUGACCAUAUAUAUAUUGGUUUGUGGAUUUAAUGAACUUCGUAUUAUUAAUUUUGAGGAGUAAAAAUCCAGUAAUAAGUUUCAUCGUUAUUGAUGUUAAUCCUCCUAGUUGGAACUUAAAUUCUUCAUAAGUCAUUAAUGUUUUUGUUGGCUUGAAAUGGUAAUGCCCAAUCUAAAUGUUAUUCUAUCUGUUAUUAGUAACACUGAAAAAAGAAAAGAUGGAUUUUUGGUGUGACUGUUACAUCUCCAAUAGGUAUUAUGUUCUGUAGCUGCUCUUAUUCCCCUUAUGUAAAUUGGGAAUUAUUUAGUUAUUUAGUCUUAUUUAGACAGUUGUAGAACUGUGCAAUAUGCCGUUAUGGUUCUUUUUCAAUAGAGCUGUUCUGUAUUAAAAUUAGUAUUUCAGAUUUCUGUAAUUGACAUGUAUCCUGAUUGAAGAAUUCCAUGUGCUAUAUAAAUUACCAAUGCUUUGUAACAGAUGACAAGUAUAUGGUUUAUUUGACUUUUACUUUGUCAUAUCAUUUUCUAAGGGAAAACUUUCUGCAUCCCCCACAGAUUUGUCUUAUCUAUUGCAUAUGUUAAUGUCUAAGAACAUUGUAUGUCAAAGUAAUUAGCAUGCUCUUGACAUUUUCCUUAAGCUUGUGUGUUUUUGUGAAUCAUUCCUUACAAAGUAA
rnacentral:misc_RNA from 1 species